UUUUGCACGCAGUUGCGCCCGAAGCCCUCGUGGCCAGGGCACGUCUGUCUGGGCGUCA
rnacentral:rRNA from 1 species